UGGAGCACGGAUCAGGGCCCCAGGUCUAAGAUCUCGCCACGAUUAGAGGCCACUGAAUUUAUUCAAGAGCCUCUCCAGCUUCAUCCUAUCUGCCCUUCAGCCUUCCCGCUCUACGGAGGUCUGCAGGCUUGCUCCUCACCCCUGCACUGUCUUCCCGCUCUACGGAGGUCUGCAGCAGUGAUAUACACUCUCCUGAGUGUAUAAUAACAUACAUAUACAUAUAUAUUUCACAGCUGUGUAUUUAUAUAUUUAUCUGUGUGUUCUUUCUUCUCAGGGGUCUUUCUACUCAGGGCACUCUUCAGCUGGCAUUUUUUAUCAGAGUCUCUGGAGCGCGCCUACCUACAGCUCCCUUGUAGCUGCCCUCUACUCCGCUUCCCAUCAGCUCCUGUUCAACCCUCUUUCAGGCAAGUUACACUCUCUGGCUUACUCUGUAACAGUGUUUUGUAUUAUACUUUUAAAAGCUACCCAGGGAGCAUGGGACUGAGGGAUCACCCCUUUUUAUCUCUCCUCUCUCUGCAGGCCAUUUCUACAGCACCUCUGCAAUUUUGUGCCUGUCUCCACUCCCCUGCC